UUAACGUAAAUCAACUAAUUUGUAUGUUUGGUUUCAGCGACCAAUAUGAAUAUUCAAGAUCCGGAAAAGAAUAUAAACGGAGCAGCAUUCAAAUUGCAACACUGAGAGAAAAAUUCAGUUUACUGCAUUGAAAAUAUCUUCUCAAGCACUGCAAGCGCUUUUGCAUCUUCUUCAAAAGUUGUAUCAAGACAGCCCUAAAUGAUAUUUCAAACAGUAAGUUAAAUAACUUUGGAACAUAAUUUUUUUUUAAUUUUAGACAGCUCAAUUAGUUCUUUAAGAUUCAGCAUAAACUCAAAUAUUAUUGUAAUAAACAGAAGUGUAUAAACCUAAUCAUAGAAGAUGAAAAAUAUCUAAAGACUAGGUGCUUAAUUAUUAAUAUCUUGAUUUUCAAACAUAUAUACCUAACUUCAGAACUUUAAUUAACACAUGAAUAUCACAAAGCAGUAGCUCAAAUAGUUAGAUAAAUUAUUUGCAGUUCUCAAACAUAUUUGAAAAUACUGACAUGUGGCAACUUUUUUUUUAAAAAAAAAAUCAAUUAAAUUUUUUGCCAAACCCACGUAUUCUACUUUCUGUUCAUGGAAGUUACAACAUUCGAUUUAACAACCGUUUCUGUUUUUUAGCCAAAAAACUGUUUUUUUUUAAACGAAGCAACAAAAAAAACUGUUUAUAUCUUCUUCAUCACAAACAAAAGUAUCCAUUUGUCUAUUUUCUUCACACGUUUCCAAUUAUGUUUUCAAAUCUUUGUUAUUAAAUUGUCUCUGACACAUUUGUAACAAGUACAAACUUCAUUUUAACGUCCGUGUUGGUCUCAUUGCAAAGUUUCAACAAUGAAGAUUCCAAAUCCUAAUAAAAUAACCAGGGAGAAGGAGACAACAACAUCAGAAGUCAACCACAAUCUAUGGCAAAGGUAAACGAUUUUAUUUUCAUAAUCAAAUUCAAAUAAAUUUAAAAUUGUGCAGAAACUAAUCAUGCAUUUUUCAAUGUGCUAUAGAAAACAAACUCGCAAAUUCUACCGAUAGUUCUUCGACAUGCUCCAUUUUCAAAACAAAAAAAAACAUGCUCCAAUAUGCAUGGAAAGCAACACUACGUCAAAAUUACAAAGGAUAUGUAAAAUAAUUUUGUGUCAUUGUAUUUUUAAUUAACGUAAAUCAACUAAUUUGUAUGUUUGGUUUCAGCGACCAAUAUGAAUAUUCAAGAUCCGGAAAAGAAUAUAAACGGAGCAGCAUUCAAAUUGCAACACUGAGAGAAAAAUUCAGUUUACUGCAUUGGUAAACAAUUGUAUAUUAAAAACAUCAUAUCAUUCUUAAUUUUCCUACUCUCCUAUCAUUUUUGCUUUGAUGUGAAAUGCAGAAAAUAUCUUCUCAAGCACUGCAAGCGCUUUUGCAUCUUCUUCAAAAGUUGUAUCAAGACAGCCCUAAAUGAUAUUUCAAACAGUAA